AGUGAACGCUGGCGGUAGGCCUAACACAUGCCAGUCGAACGGCAGCACAGUAAGAGCUUGCUCUUACGGGUGGCGAGUGGCGGACGGGUGAGGAAUACAUCGGAAUCUACUUUUUCGUGGGGGAUAACGUAGGGAAACUUACGCUAAUACCGCAUACGACCUACGGGUGAAAGCAGGGGAUCUUCGGACCUUUCGCGAUUGAAUGAGCCGAUGUCGGAUUAGCUAGUUGGCGGGGUAAAGGCCCACCAAGGCGACGAUCCGUAGCUGGUCUGAGAGGAUGAUCAGCCACACUGGAACUGAGACACGGUCCAGACUCCUACGGGAGGCAGCAGUGGGGAAUAUUGGACAAUGGGCGCAAGCCUGAUCCAGCCAUACCGCGUGGGUGAAGAAGGCCUUCGGGUUGUAAAGCCCUUUUGUUGGGAAAGAAAAGAAGCAGGUUAAUACCCCGCUGUUCUGACGGUACCCAAAGAAUAAGCACCGGCUAACUUCGUG
rnacentral:rRNA from 1 species